rnacentral:rRNA from 1 species
AUUGAACGCUGGCGGCAGGCUUAACACAUGCAAGUCGAGCGGGGUGAUGGUGCUUGCACUAUCACUUAGCGGCGGACGGGUUAGUAAUGCUUAGGAACCUGCCUAUUAGUGGGGGACAACAUCGCGAAAGGGAUGCUAAUACCGCAUACGUCCUACGGGAGAAAGCAGGGGAUCACUUGUGACCUUGCGCUAAUAGAUGAGCCUAAGGCGGAUUAGCUAGUUGGUGGGGUGAAGGCCUACCAAGGCGACGAUCUGUAGCGGGUCUGAGAGGAUGAUCCGCCACACUGGGACUGAGACACGGACCAGACUCCUACGGGAGGCAGCAGUGGGGAAUAUUGGACAAUGGGGGGAACCCUGAUCCAGCCAUGCCGCGUGUGUGAAGAAGGCCUUAUGGUUGUAAAGCACUUUAAGCGAGGAGGAGGCUCUUUUGGUUAAUACCCAAGAUGAGUGGACGUUACUCGCAGAAUAAGCACCGGCUAACUCUGUGCCAGCCGCCGCCGUAA